rnacentral:rRNA from 1 species
UACGGAGGGUGCGAGCGUUAAUCGGAAUUACUGGGCGUAAAGCGCACGCAGGCGGUUUGUUAAGCUAGAUGUGAAAGCCCCGGGCUCAACCUGGGAUGGUCAUUUAGAACUGGCAGACUAGAGUCUUGGAGAGGGGAGUGGAAUUCCAGGUGUAGCGGUGAAAUGCGUAGAUAUCUGGAGGAACAUCAGUGACGAAGGCGACUCCCUGGCCAAAGACUGACGCUCAUGUGCGAAAGUGUGGGUAGCGAACAGG